AGUAAACGAUGAAUGUUAGUCGUUGGGUAGCUAGUCUAUUCGGUGAUGCAGCUAAACGCAUUAAACAUUCCGCUUGGGGAGUACGGUCGCAAGAUUAAAAUUCAAAGGAAUAGACGGGGACCCGCACAAGUGGUGGAGCAUGUGGUUUAAUUCGAAGAUACGCGAAGAACCUUACCUAGCCUUGACAUAUAUUAGAACAUUUUAGAGAUAGAAUGGUGCCUUCGGGAGCUUUUAUACAGGUGCUGCACGGCUGUCGUCAGCUCGUGUCGUGAGAUGUUGGGUUAAGUCCCGCAACGAGCGCAACCCUCGUCACUAGUUACUAACGGUUCGGCCGAGGACUCUAGUGAGACUGCCUUCGCAAGGAGGAGGAAGGUGAGGACGACGUCAAGUCAUCAUGGCCCUUACGGCUAGGGCAACACACGUGCUACAAUGGUUGGGACAAUGAGACGCAAUACCGCGAGGUGGAGCAAAUCUAUAAACCCAAUCUCAGUUCGGAUUGUUCUCUGCAACUCGAGAACAUGAAGCUGGAAUCACUAGUAAUCGUAGAUCAGCUAUGCUACGGUGAAUACGUUCCCGGGUCUUGUACUCACCGCCCGUCACACCAUGGGAGUUGAUUUCACCCGAAGCGGGGAAGCUAAACUGGCUACCCUCCACGGUGGAAUUAGCGACUGGGGUGAAGUCGUAACAAGGUAGC
rnacentral:rRNA from 1 species